rnacentral:rRNA from 1 species
AUGGGUGCUUGUGAGGCUCUCUCCUGCCUAGUCCUCCUCUCACUCCUCGUCUCGUCAAGUGCUUCCACCCUAGACGACGCGUGCAAGUCCUUGGGCGCAAGCAACGAGGACAUCAGCUACGACUCCUGCAUCAGGUUCUUCCGGGCCUUCAGUGCCAGCGCCACCGCGGACAAGCGCGGCCUCGUCGUCAUCGCCGCGAAGAUCGUCCGAGCAGAGGCGGCGAACACCCGCAACCGCAUCAACGCUCUCAAGGCCUCGGAGACGGACAGGAAGAUCGCCAGGCGCCUCUCCCACUGUCACGCGCUGUACACGAGCACACUGCACCUGCUCAACGCGGUGGCGAAGGCCAUCAAGUCGGGUCAUUUGCAGGACGCGGAGGCGAACCUCAACGCCGCGAUGGAGAACCCCGACGCGUGCGAGGAAGGGUUCCGGGAGCUGGGCGUCAGGCCGCCGGUGGCCGCCGAGGACUACGAGUUCACGCAGGGGUGCUCCAUCGCUCUCGCUAUAGCGAGCACGUUGUAG